UAAUAUUUCGAGCCCCAAAACGUGCAAUUAUCGAAACUAUAUUUUCCUAUAAAUAGAAGCUUAUUCUUCUUUCAUUCUCACCAAUUCACUAAGACUCACAAGAGCAAUUAUAGAGAGAGAAGUUAUAGAGAGAAAGAAGAAGAGAAGUCUGCUACUUCACUAUUCUAGUAUCCAGUCUUCUUCUGAGGUAAGAGAUAUUAUUUUUUUCAGUAUUCAUAAGGAAUACAAUUUUCUUCCAUACUCUGUAGUAUGUGAGUAAUAUUAUUUUGUCAUGUAUUUCUGAUUGUACCCUCAUUUUGUUAAAGUAUUGCUUCUAUACUCCGUGAAAUUAGUAUAAUAUCCUUAAUAUUUGUCUUUCAUCUAGUAUCGUUUCACAAGGAUAUUUUCUGCACAUUCUUGUUAAAUUUUAAGUUUUUCAUGCCGGAGUACUGUUCAUGAGUAGUAUUCAUUUUUACGGUACUAUUCACAAAAUACUAUUCACGGGGUACUAUUCACAAAGUACUAUUCACG
rnacentral:lncRNA from 1 species